rnacentral:rRNA from 1 species
UACGAAGGGGGCAAGCGUUAUUCGGAUUUAUUGGGCGUAAAGGGCGUGUAGGCGGCUCGGCAAGUCUGGUGUGAAAACGCUACCGCUCAACGGAGCGAAUGCGCUGGAUACUGCCGAACUUGAGUUCAGAAGAGGUGGGCGGAAUACCUGGUGUAGCGGUGGAAUGCGUAGAGAUCAGGGAGAACACCCGAGGCGAAGGCGGCCCACUGGUCUGACACUGACGAUGAGGCGCGAAAGCGUGGGGAUCAAACGGG